GCAGUCGAGCGGACUUCUUAAAGCUUGCUUUUAAGAAGUCAGCGGCGGACGGGUGAGUAACACGUGGGCAACCUGCCUGUAAGACUGGGAUAACUUCGGGAAACCGGAGCUAAUACCGGAUAAUAUAAAGAACCUCCUGGUUCUUUAUUGAAAGAUGGUUUCGGCUAUCACUUACAGAUGGGCCCGCGGCGCAUUAGCUAGUUGGUGAGGUAAUGGCUCACCAAGGCGACGAUGCGUAGCCGACCUGAGAGGGUGAUCGGCCACACUGGGACUGAGACACGGCCCAGACUCCUACGGGAGGCAGCAGUAGGGAAUCUUCCACAAUGGACGAAAGUCUGAUGGAGCAACGCCGCGUGAGCGAUGAAGGCCUUCGGGUCGUAAAGCUCUGUUGUUAGGGAAGAACAAGUGCGAGAGUAACUGCUCGCACCUUGACGGUACCUAACCAGAAAGCCACGGCUAACUACGUGCCAGCAGCCGCGGUAAUACGUAGGUGGCAAGCGUUGUCCGGAAUUAUUGGGCGUAAAGCGCGCGCAGGUGGUCCUUUAAGUCUGAUGUGAAAGCCCACGGCUCAACCGUGGAGGGUCAUUGGAAACUGGGGGACUUGAGUGCAGAAGAGGAAAGUGGAAUUCCAAGUGUAGCGGUGAAAUGCGUAGAGAUUUGGAGGACACCAGUGGCG
rnacentral:rRNA from 1 species